rnacentral:rRNA from 1 species
UGGGGAAUAUUGGACAAUGGGGGCAACCCUGAUCCAGCAAUGCCGCGUGAGUGAUGAAGGCCUUCGGGUUGUAAAGCUCUUUUGCCAGGGACGAUGAUGACGGUACCUGGAGAAUAAGCCCCGGCUAACUUCGUGCCAGCAGCCGCGGUAAUACGAAGGGGGCAAGCGUUGUUCGGAAUUACUGGGCGUAAAGGGCGCGUAGGCGGCCGAUCAAGUCAGGCGUGAAAUUCCCGGGCUCAACCUGGGGCUGCGCUUGAUACUGAUUGGCUUGAAUGCGGGAGAGGAUAGUGGAAUUCCCAGUGUAGAGGUGAAAUUCGUAGAUAUCAGGAGGAACACCGGUGCGAAGGCGGUUCUCUGGGCAUUACCUGACGCUGAGGAGCGAAAGCAUGGGGAGCGAACA